rnacentral:rRNA from 1 species
UACACUCCUGCGGGAGGCAGCAGUGGGGAAUAUUGGACAAUGGGCGCAAGCCUGAUCCAGCCAUGCCGCGUGAGUGAUGAAGGCCCUAGGGUUGUAAAGCUCUUUCACCGGUGAAGAUAAUGACGGUAACCGGAGAAGAAGCCCCGGCUAACUUCGUGCCAGCAGCCGCGGUAAUACGAAGGGGGCUAGCGUUGUUCGGAUUUACUGGGCGUAAAGCGCACGUAGGCGGACUAUUAAGUCAGGGGUGAAAUCCCGGGGCUCAACCCCGGAACUGCCUUUGAUACUGGUAGUCUUGAGUUCGAGAGAGGUGAGUGGAAUUCCGAGUGUAGAGGUGAAAUUCGUAGAUAUUCGGAGGAACACCAGUGGCGAAGGCGGCUCACUGGCUCGAUACUGACGCUGAGGUGCGAAAGCGUGGGGAGCAAACAGGAUUAGAUACCCGGGUAGUCCCAU